rnacentral:rRNA from 1 species
AAAAGCACUUUGAAAAGAGAGUGCAAGAGAACGUGAAACCGUUAUAGUGGAAGCGGAUGGAGCCGACGUAUCCAGUGCGUAUUCAGCCGUCCAACCAGGCGAAUGCUUUGCUAGUAAAUCUGUAUAAGAUUGCGGCUGAGUUCUUUGUUAUGGUCGGUGGUGCAUUUGCGCACAGAGUGCGCCGAAUCGGUUGGCUGCGCUGUUCGAGAUUCACUCAGAGGACUAGCUUGCUAGAAACCUGGGUGUUUGGAGGACAGAUGUGGCUGGCUGUAAGGAAGUUGGAACUUCGCUGCUGAUUGUCGAAGUGAAGCCGGUUUUUGUGUGACGCAUGCGUUCCGCAUAAGUGGGCUCUAUUUUGGCGGUUGGUUGCCCGACUUCGCAUUCGGUGUCUAGUCGGUCACCCAUUCGACCCGUCUUGAAACACGGACCAAGGAGUUUAAGGUGUGCGCAAGUCAUUGAGUGGUAAACUCAUAGGCGUAAUGAAAGUGGGACACCUGGUGUCUGUGAUGCGACCCGUGGGCGUUUCGAUGACCGUGGGGCAGCAUCGACCCAUGACUAGGACUUGUUCUGUUGUGGAGUCUGAGCGUGCGCUUUGAGACCCGAAAGAUGGUGAACUAUGCCUGAACAGGACGAAGUCAGAGGAAACUCUGAUGGAAGUCCGAAGCGGUUCUGACGUGCAAAUCGAUCGUCUGAUUUGGGUAUAGGGGCGCAAGACUAAUCGAACCAUC